CACACACACACACACACACACACACACACACACACACAAUCACCAACCGCAGACCACACUGAAUGCUUCAGACGCUAGCCUUUCUGCAUGGCUCGCAACCUGAAGGGCCUUUUAUCUUCCAGGGAGCAGAGAAAGCCCGCCAUCAGGGAGCAGCCAACAAAGGCCAGUCACUAGCUGCUGCCCUGCUUACUGAAGCAGCCGGGGGAGAGGGAUUGCUCUGGCCCCCUUGUUGCCAGACUGGGCUCAGGUUCUCAGUCCUCUGGGGUUGCUUUAAUCUACUUCCACACAGGCCAGCAGUUCCCAGCCACCGCGGAGUCACUUAAGGGUGGCCGCCGCUCGUCAGGAGUGUGAAGAAAUAGUGUCAGCCACGUACUCCCCCUUCAUCCAUGGGAGAUGAGUUCCAAGACCACCAGAGGAUGGCUGAUGGCGAGAUUGCCUGCUGUCUCUCUGUAAGCAUGGUGAAGCCCUGUUCACACUCUGGGAAGAGGUAAAAGCCAACACCACAGUGAUUACAAGACACCAGCUAACACGCUAUGCUGUGAGAAAGGGGGCGACUGUGGUCCCUCUGUGUCUCAGAGUAUCUGACUUCACUAUCGAGAGGGCUCUCCCUGUGUCUCCUGAGGCGACAUUGAGGCAUGAGUACCUCAUGGGACCAAAAGAGGGCGCUGCAUCCCUUGGAACCGGAGCUACAGAGAGCUGAGCGCCACCUUCCCUGUGCUGGAUUUUGAACCUGGGUCUUCUGGAAGAGCAGCCAGAGCUCUUAACCAGUCUUACCAGCCUCCAGAGGAAUGAUUCCAGCCCCCACUGUUGACCAAGGGCCAGUGAAACUAUAGUACAGAGAAGGUUCCGAGAGGGACGCAGCGCACCAGGUAAAAAACUGGAGUCAGAGAAAUUAUUCAACUAAUAAACGAGUUCACCUUGGAGGGUAUUAUUUCCAGUGCACAAGUGACUAGGGGUAUUGCCUAGGUCACAUACAGCCUAUUACCCCCAGGGGACAGGACCAGGAUUCUAUCUCAGGGACACUGACUGAUCUCACCUAUCCCAGCACUGAGGCCUCAAAAGUGGCCUUGGCUCCUCUAAGCCACCCAGGAGGAGACAUCUUCCUGUAAAAGAUCUCACAAGCAGCCCAGAUCUUUUCCAAGGGUUCCUCAAAAUCCAACAGAAUACACAUCUGAAUUUUUACUGCCCAUCCCAUAAUAGGAAUAUAACUUAUGAUUGCUGGCAAGCCAGGCUUCAGCCGCCUCCAUAAAUCUGGCCCUCUGAUCAAAUCCACAUGCAUUUCAGCAGAGCCGGGCCCUCGGAGGGGAGCAGGGAAGGAACUGGAGCGAGGGCUGAGGCUUUUUUGGGUUAAUCACAGCCGGAAUAUUAACCGCGAGUCCUGCUGAUUUCCUCAUGAAUAGAUUCAGACGUCCCAGCAUGCAGGCCUGACUCGGUUCACGCAGUCAGAACCUCAGAACCGCAAGUGUCCAGAACACAGGCUUCCAGAACGGGGUGAGCUUCAGCUGAAGGCCAAGAUUCAUUUCCCCUGAGAAAAACAAUGUCUCAACCACUCCAGGGGAGGUUGGGGUGGUAGUGGGGAGCUUGAAUCAUGGCGGAAGCCUCCCUGUGCGGUUGGAGGCAAAGGGGAGCAAACCACCGUUUGGUUGGAGGCAAGGGGGAGCAAACCACAGUUUGGUUUCUCACUUCCAAAACAGGCCCACAAUUUUCAAUGAACACUUGAAGGAUUUUUUUUUUGCCUUAUAACUUCAUUUCUUCCUUCCUCUUUGUUUCUUUUUAAAAUGCAACAUGCCAGUCUGUGAUUGGCUUUACUGGGUAAAGGAGGGCAGACAGGAACGGAGAAGGAAAUAGAAAUUGUUCAAAUGAAGACUAAGAUCUAGAGAGGAAAGUCCCAUGUAGCGCCCGGGCAUUCCAAGGUCAUUUUCCACGAGAACGGACACCAUCUUGCCCCAGAACUGCUGCUGUCCUUCACAGAGCCAAGCUUGCCUUCUUGUGCCUCCUGAAACAUGACAGCUCUGAGGGGGCACCAAGGGUCCCCAUUUCUCAGAUGUGGAGAUAGAGCCCAACCCCAUUCCCUUUCCUUUCCCU
rnacentral:sRNA from 1 species